CCUACGGGAGGCAGCAGUGGGGAAUUUUGGACAAUGGGCGCAAGCCUGAUCCAGCAAUGCCGCGUGAGUGAAGAAGGCCUUCGGGUUGUAAAGCUCUUUUGUCAGGGAAGAAACGGUGGAGGUUAAUACCUUCUGCUAAUGACGGUACCUGAAGAAUAAGCACCGGCUAACUACGUGCCAGCAGCCGCGGUAAUACGUAGGGUGCAAGCGUUAAUCGGAAUUACUGGGCGUAAAGCGUGCGCAGGCGGUUGUGCAAGACAGAUGUGAAAUCCCCGGGCUCAACCUGGGAAUUGCAUUUGUGACUGCACGGCUAGAGUGUGUCAGAGGGGGGUAGAAUUCCACGUGUAGCAGUGAAAUGCGUAGAGAUGUGGAGGAAUACCGAUGGCGAAGGCAGCCCCCUGGGAUAACACUGACGCUCAUGCACGAAAGCGUGGGGAGCAAACAGGAUUAGAUACCCUGGUAGUCCACGCCCUAAACGAUGUCUACUAGUUGUCGGGUCUUAAUUGACUUGGUAACGCAGCUAACGCGUGAAGUAGACCGCCUGGGGAGUACGGGUCGCAAGAUUAAAACUCAAAUGAAAUUGACGG
rnacentral:rRNA from 1 species